CACGGAAGGGAGCAGGGAUCUUCAGUGGACAACAGAAGCAACACAAGCCUUCGACCAACUAAAGAAGGCUCUUAUGUCAGCUCCAGCCCUGGGACUUCCAGAUCGGGAGUGAGGGAGAACCAGUGAUCCACGACUGCCUGGAGACCACUGAAGCCACCUACUCCAGUGCCCGGAUCUGAAGAACACCCCUCUUGAAGACGCUGAGACCUGGUUCACCGAUCAUCAGCAAAAAGGACAUGCUGGGUAUGUGGUUACCACAUGCAGACCAUUGCCAACAAACACCUCUGCACAAAAAGCUGAAAUAAUUGCCUAACCUGGGCCUUAGAGCUGGCAAAAGAAAAGAAAUCAACAUUUAUAUAGACUCGAGGUAUGCAUUUAGAAUGGUCUAUACACACAAAACUUUUUGAGGAAA